AACACAAGUGCAAUGGACAUUUAAAAAAGUGCAUAGAAAAUAUUCCAGUGUGCAAAUGGAUCAUUCAGUAUUCUGGAUUCAGUAUUACAG